CUCUGUGCACGGUGAUUCGACGGUUAUAAAGAGUGUACGAGGUUGAGGGCGAGCGGCGGUGCUGCCUGCCGGCACGGCAUUGAUUAGACAGCUGGAGCGGCCAGCGCGGCGGCCAGCCAUGACUGGCUCUGGCGACGCGCCGGCCCAGCUCAACGAGCUCUCGUCCGACAUCGACACCCUCUCCGAGAAUCUGUUGGUGACCCAACAGAAGAACCAAAGCCCAUCCUUCACCAUAUCCUGCAUCCUGCAAAAUGUGAUCUACAGGAGAUG